rnacentral:piRNA from 1 species
UNGCAGGUCCAUGCCACGGCUUUUAAACUC